GUAGGUGGCAAGCGUUGUCCGGAAUUAUUGGGCGUAAAGCGCGCGCAGGCGGGGUUCGUUUAAGUCUGAUGUGAAAGCCCACGGGCUCAACCGUGGAGGGUCAUUGGAAACUGGAGAACUUGAGUACAGAAGAGGAAAGCGGAAUUCCACGUGUAGCGGUGAAAUGCGUAGAGAUGUGGAGGAACACCAGUGGCGAAGGCGGCUUUCUGGUCCGUAACUGACGCUGAGGCGCGAAAGCGUGGGGAGCAAACAGGAUUAGAUACCCUGGUAGUCCACGCCGUAAACGAUGAGUGCUAAGUGUUAGGGGGGUUUCCGCCCCUUAGUGCUGCAGCUAACGCAUUAAGCACUCCGCCUGGGGAGUACGGCCGCAAGGCUG
rnacentral:rRNA from 1 species